rnacentral:misc_RNA from 1 species
ACGUAAGUUAUUAACAGAUUAUUCUUUUCUUAAACUAUGGUAUGAUCUAGUUUGGUUCAAGAAUAAAUUGAUAUAUGCAGCUCAAAAAAUUAGAGACUUCAUUUUGGAGCUUCUUUUGUUAUCGUAGGAUCCUGAUGUUUGCUUGUCAUUGUGUCUCCUUGAACAACAGGAAACUUUAUUUGUUGAUGUCAACAACAUAAGCUUAUUUCUUGUGGAUAGAAUGUUCUAGUCAUAAUUUAGUUUCAACAAAUGCGUUAAAAUAAGCCUAAUUGCACCCAUAAUUGUUAAAAUCACUAGUUAACUCAUAUAGUUCUGCAAGUUAUAACCACCUAAAUAAAUCAAAAUGUAUAGCAAAUCAGAAUCAAAUAAAAUCGAGGUAAACUCGUGUUUUCAAAUAGUGAAAUCGAUACGAUGUUAUGAGUUUACAAUUCUAUGAUUUUAUAUGUUUGGAAUUUAAAAUUUUAAAUAUCACCUUUUAAUGUAUCAAAAUCAUUAUUUUUUAUUUAUU